rnacentral:rRNA from 1 species
UAACACGUGGGCAAUCUGCCCUUCACUCUGGGACAAGCCCUGGAAACGGGGUCUAAUACCGGAUACGACCUGCCGAGGCAUCUCGGCGGGUGGAAAGCUCCGGCGGUGAAGGAUGAGCCCGCGGCCUAUCAGCUUGUUGGUGAGGUAACGGCUCACCAAGGCGACGACGGGUAGCCGGCCUGAGAGGGCGACCGGCCACACUGGGACUGAGACACGGCCCAGACUCCUACGGGAGGCAGCAGUGGGGAAUAUUGCACAAUGGGCGAAAGCCUGAUGCAGCGACGCCGCGUGAGGGAUGACGGCCUUCGGGUUGUAAACCUCUUUCAGCAGGGAAGAAGCGAAAGUGACGGUACCUGCAGAAGAAGCGCCGGCUAACUACGUGCCAGCAGCCGCGGUAAUACGUAGGGCGCAAGCGUUGUCCGGAAUUAUUGGGCGUAAAGAGCUCGUAGGCGGCUUGUCACGUCGGGUGUGAAAGCCCGGGGCUUAACCCCGGGUCUGCAUCCGAUACGGGCAGGCUAGAGUGUGGUAGGGGAGAUCGGAAUUCCUGGUGUAGCGGUGAAAUGCGCAGAUAUCAGGAGGAACACCGGUGGCGAAGGCGGAUCUCUGGGCCAUUACUGACGCUGAGGAGCGAAAGCGUGGGGAGCGAACAGGAUUAGAUACCCUGGUAGUCCACGCCGUAAACGUUGGGAACUAGGUGUUGGCGACAUUCCACGUCGUCGGUGCCGCAGCUAACGCAUUAAGUUCCCCGCCUGGGGGAGUACGGGCCGCAAAGGCUAAAACUCAAAGGAAAUUGACGGGGGCCCGCACAAGCAGC